rnacentral:lncRNA from 1 species
CUACUCUAAAUGUAAUAUAAACUAACUUGUGCAAAAGAAUAAGGAAAUGAUAAAAAAAAUUUAGUUGCUUAUCAAUAAAUGUUGAUCCAAUGCUCACUGUAGAAGAGGGCUGCUACUUGUCUUGGAUAAGACGGAUAUCCUAUGCAUAAAGCUAAGCUUAGAUUUAUCGUAAAUUUGUCCCAGUUCAAUAGUUCUUAGCAGGUUUUUUGGGACGUCUUCUAGAAGUAGAAGAAACUUGUGAAGUAAACUCUUGCGAUUGCACUCCUCAUCUAUUUACAGGUUUUGCAGUUUGGGGUCUAUUUUGCAGUGGGUGGCGCCAUUGUAGGUCGGGUGGUUUAGGAGGUUCUUGAGAAAGGUGAGCAAUUUGAAUUAUUUCUCUCUCCAAAGGUAUCUAAUCGAACUCCUUCCCUUACUUUGUUCAUAGUAGUCGGUUGAAUGGCCACUCUUCCCCUUUAUAGUCCUAUCAAUUGCACCAAGCGUGGGUUCCUUAUCAGUUGAAAAAUGAGACCUUCCAGCAAGCAAAUUCCAAACCUACUAUACUAUCUCUGAGAAGGGGUAUGAUGGUACGCGCCUUACGGGAAACAACAAAAGAGAUGGCAAUCAAAGGGGCAAUGAGCAGCUCUAAGGCUUGUGGAAUUGAAAGGCGCCCCCAGUGACAACCGCAGCAGCAGAGGAACGACAAUCAGAGGCAGAAAAAAAAAAAAGCAGGUGCCAUACAACUAUGAAGGCCAAGGAGAGCGUCCUUCACGAGAAUUUACCCUGCUUGCAUUAUGGCUAAGUCAAAUACUACCUAAAAUGCUGGAGCAUAGACUAGUCGAACCCUUCCGUGUCAAUCGUCAUCCGAUUUACCUAGCCCAAAAAAGACAAGCAAUACAGGGUCUUCAAGGAAGAGGUUAGGUUCCUUCAGAAGUAGCAGCAAAGCAAUUGACUAAAUCAUCAUCGAUAGAUCAAAGCACAGUAAAUAGAGUCCCAGGUGUAGGAGAGGAAACGGUCGCAAGAUCUUAGCCAAAAAUUGACAUAGGAGUGAUUAAAGCGAUUGGACUUCUUUCCUUAGCCUUAAUCAUAACCCUUCCUCUAAGGAGUGAAGUUUGAAGGAGAGAGAAAGCUCUUUUUAUCAAAUAGGCUAGCUUCACCAAAUAAAUUGACUAUCAGAACAGAAACCAUACUACCCAAACAAAGGAUACCAUCUUAGGCAUAGCAAAAAGCAAGGUCAACCAAACUAAUCUAUCCCAUCCACCCAAGCCAAUAUUGCCGACAAGGAUAAAAAGGCUAUUGCCUCCGCGAAAUCGACGGGAAUGGUUAUAGGUAAUAGCCUCUUUUCUUUAGGUUAGAGCCAAAGAUUUUAUUUGGGGGGGGGGGGGGGGGGAAGAGAG